rnacentral:lncRNA from 1 species
AAAUUGUAAAGCAAGUGCUGCGAAGAGUUCAAAGAGCCAUAUUCACAAGUUUUUCAACAAAUUUAUAUUCUUUUGGAGAAGAUUUGGCAACGCCAGGAUGUUCAAUCAAAAUAUUUCAGUGGCACGAAAGUGGGGCCCUCUAUUUGCCUCCUGAGUCUUAAAUGCGUUCACACUCUAACAUCAUGAAGCUUUUAAGAACUCCGGCUUUCGAAAUAGCUCUACUCGUUGCGCGAUAUCCGUGAAAGAAGAUGUGCAUUUAUUUUGGACUUCGCAGUGGUCAACAUUAGGUGCUGCCAAGGACAUGAUGGAAUUUUAUGCCUUUCUUUUCAUUGUAAACGCGUUCUUUUUAUCGUCAAACGGAGUUUUUUCAACCGGCCCGAAGACUUGUGAUCCGACCGAUCUGGAUGAUGAGAGUUGCUCAGUGCACUGCAAUUCACUAUGGGGCAGGGCACCUUUAUUCAACAUUCCGUGGAGUCGCGGAAUUUUCCAGUGGGGCAAUUGCGUUUGCAGGUUCAACAAUGAAAAGCUACACACGUUCACAGCCCACGAGUGUGUGCAGAAGUCCGUUUGGUCAUCGUUCAGAGGCAAAAAUAAAAUAGCCGAACAAGGAAUCAAUGCCAAAGUUAUUCGUAUGAGUUUUCGACAACGAUUCGAAGUAUUCAAAGGGGCUUACAAGAAAAAAUACGGAUCACAGGCAGAGGAGUCGAAGCGGUUCGCGAUCUUCAAGGAGAACUUAGCCAUAAUCGACGGACUUAUGGCUAGACGCAUAGGAAAUGUUGUUUAUGGCGUCGGCCCAUUCACAGAUCUUACAAGUAGGAAUGGAGUACAGGGCGAUGCGUGGUAACAUCAAGCGGAAAUCCACCUCAACGGAAAGACUCCA